UCCCAUUCAACAUCUUAUUUCACACAAAUGUCUGAUGCUCAGGUGGUGUUUAUAGCAGCCAGAUCUCACUAGUCCUAUCAAUAUGUCCCUGUCUCUACCUCGGUGGUUCCCUAGAGCCACUCUAUCUCCUUGUCUUCUAAAAUCUUUGUUUUCUCCCUUUGCUCAGCAGCCCAUCCUUUAAUGUUUCCCAUUCUGCUUUCUCAUUUUGGGUGUAUUGACAGAUAUCUUUACCCAGGCACCUCUCACUCCAGAGCAUUUCCACCUUCACACAUCUCACACUUUUGACCUUUCGUACCAGCAAUCUCACAUUUUCUCACUCUUUGUUUUUCACAGUGGCCCGGCCUCUUCUGUAUUCAUUCAUGCUCUAUUAGUACUAGACCCUAAACUCUUCUCUGCCCCUCUAUAGCUCAAUGAUCCCUUGACCACACAAACCUGGAGUUUCUGCUUUCAUACAUCGGUCACAAUCAAGCUCAAUAGAUUUAGCCGCAUAGCCCACAGGGAGCAGCCUUGUCUCUCCACACCACGCUCAUUCACUCCAUCACUUCUCUCCUCAUUCAUUCAUUCAGGUAGAUUUUCUAAACGCCCAAUCAUCACUUUCACUCUUCACCAUUUACAUUGCACGUUCUCCAAUGGCUCUUUUGCAGCGAAGCAUUUUUGACACUCACCCUCUCAUCUUUCAUCCUUUCAUGGUUUUGUUGUCAGCUAUUCAUCCUGCAUGGCUUAGGCUUCUGCUUUCACAUACACAUUGCACACACACGCACUUUUAUACCCACACGCAUGUGCAGACACGCAGACACAUAUGCAUACACACACAGGCACAUACCCCCCCCCCACACACACAGCAAAGCACACUUAUUUCCAACAAAU
rnacentral:lncRNA from 1 species